rnacentral:lncRNA from 1 species
GGGAGAGAAGAAGCCUCUCAUACUGCUUUUUGAAGUCGCUUUCUCUAAACUUGGAUUCCAACACUAGUGUUCGCCAUGGGAACAAGUAGCCUGCUUCACUAGGAGGGGAGGAGGCAGCAAUGUCACUCAGGAGCCGAGUCCAGCAUAGGUGUUCCACCUGAGCCACACACAGACUUUACACAGGCCGGGGAGGGAUGGGCCCCGCCAAACACCAUGUUCUUUGUGCAUGGAAACCUUCUCAUAUAGGAUGACUGUCGAAAGUUACCUGAUUUCAUCUGCAUAAUGGUUCUGCACUGUGGCUAUUAUUAGCUCUAUUUUAUAUAUUAGGAAGCCGAGAUGCAUAGUGAUUAAAUAUCUCACCCAUGAUCACAUAGCCAGUAAGUGGAAGAACUGGUUUGCAAGGUGAGAGCCUUUUAUGGCCUGCUCUUUCCAGUGUGUAAAGUACUUCUUGGCUCCGGCUUCUUUGGGGAGAAAUGGCAGAACCAUUGGAUGAAGAGCAAGCCCAUUUAGAUACUCUGGAUAGGACCAUGCAGUAAAAAAGUGAAUGCUGUUUCAUUCCUUUCCCAUCCUCCCAAAGACCUGUAACCUGGUCUACACUACCCUUGACAUCACUCUGGUAUCAGUAGCUGUUGAGUAGGAAUAAGUGCAUGAAGAAUGGAGUGCCUUGAGGUUAGUUUGUGGGAGGGAUAACCCACCUGGCAUCUGGUUCAUUCCUCAUCACAUAUUGAAGGGGGACAGGAAAACUCCUAAGCCCCCAGUCAUGACACCAGGGUUAUGACCCAAACUGAAUCUGUAAUGCCCCUUCCGAAAGAGACACCAGGGAAUACAAUUACUACAGUACGUACUCUGAGCCAUCCACAAACACUGCAGUCCCCGCUUGCUAGCUCAAAGGAUCAUGCUCAUGAGCAGCUAUGGACAAGGUUGAGAAACUACCUGGAAGCCAGAAAAUGCCAUCUGUAUGCCACUUCAGAAUAUCAGUUGCCAGAGACUAGACCCCAGUAGCAGUGAUACAGUGUUUUCUCUGUUUGGAUGGACACAAGGGCUUUCAUCACAAUGGAAUGCUUAUGGAAUUGCAUGUUUCAAAGGACACUCACAUGAAAAUACAAAUUCAUUCAAAGUCAGGUUACAAUGAUGAAUAGCAAGGCUGCAACGAG